GGAAGAAUGGGGAAGGGGAAGAGGUCAAUAAGAGAUAAAUGGAAAGCAAAAAGGAGAGGAAGAAGAUGAAAGAAGGGAGGGGAAGGUUUGAUCAAGGACUGGGGGGAAGGAAGAGGAAGGGGAAGAUUGAUUGUAUUGAGAUAAAUGUAAAGGAAGAAGGAAAAACAGAGGAAUGAUUAACAGAGGAGAGGAAAAAGAUGAGAGAAGGAAGGAGAAGGUAUGAUCUGGGGUGGGUAGGAAGGAAAGAUGAUGGGAAAAAGGUAAAUAGAAAGAUAGGAGGAGAAAAGGGGGAAUGGUUAAGAGAGGAAAAAGAUGAGAGAAGGAAAGGGAAGGUUUGAUCUGGGAUUUGGGGUGGGUGGAAAAGAAAGGGGAAGGGGAAGAGGGAUGAUAAUAGAAGGAGAAAAGGGGGAAUGGCUAAGAAAGAGAGAAAAAAGAUGAGAGAAGGAAGGAGAAGGUAUGAUGUGGGGCUUGCAGUGGGUGAAGAAGGAAGGGGAAGAGGGAUAAUGAAUAAAGAAGGAAGAAUCAAAGAGGAGAAGGAGAAAGGACAGAGGGAAUGGUUAAUGAGAAAGAGCUUGUAAGAGUGAAAGGAAGGGAAGAAAGGACAGUUCAUCCUAUGAAAUCCUGGAAUGUAAUAUAGCAAACAAUAAUUCUGUUGGCUCACUGGACCUCCACAUACAACUCCAGGCUCCUCUUGUACACACACCUACACCCUUAUUACAAGUCCUCCCCUCCUAGGCCACUCCCCUCGAGACCAGUGCCAGCAAUAUCAGGGGAAGAGGAGGAGGUUAAUAAGGAAUAAAGGGGAAGGAAGAAGAAGGAAAGACAGCGUUAACAUUGAAGAGGGAAGGUGAAGAAGGGGAGGAAAACGCAGCAAACAGACCAAAAGGAAAAAUAUUUGGAUGUGAAGUAUAUGGGAUUUAGAGGAGAAGAAGGAAAGACAGCGUUAACAUUGAUGAGGGAAGGUUAAGAAGGGGAGGAAAACACAACAAACAGACCAAGAGGAAAAUAUUUGGAUGUGAAGUUUAUGGGAUUUAGAGAGAAGCUGCUAGUUUUUGACAUCUUAGUAACAGAAAGCUUGAAAUACAUCCCCUCUAGUAACACCACUGAGGAAAGGGGAUGAGAUGGGUUUUGCAUAGGCCUAGAGGAGAGGGGAAGAGUAUUAGUACAGGUAAAGUUGGCGAAGAAUAGAAUGUGAUGCCUUUUCAUAGGAGUACAAAGCAGGGAGGCAGGAUGGGAUGAUUUUAGUAAGGAGAUGAACAGUGUAAAGCCUUGUAAUAAAGUCAGGUAGUGGAGGAAGAUGAGAGAGAGAAAGUGAUAUUAAUUAUAGUAGAAAGAAGAAGAAAAGAAGUAGUAAGCAGGGACGCCACUCACUGUGCCACUCUCUAUUCUGACCUUAAUUUUGUUCUUGUGUUGUGUAAAGAGGAAGGAGGUCUGUAUCACCCUGUUCUAACCCUACUCUGUCUUUCAUUGCCUUUAACCCGGUAGUAGCACCAAGGAUCCCUCCAAGCGAGAAAAAUGAGAAAAAAUCACCCCUCACACAAACCAUUUCAUAAUGUAUAUCAAAGCAUUUGUGAUCAGUUUAUGUAUCAUCUAUUUUGGGGGGGGUUAUAUCAUGGCACAAAUUUGGCCCGUCGCUGCUACACGGUGAAGCCACAUACUUGGCCCGUCGCUGCUACCGGGUUAAGAGGAAGAAAGUCGGCAUCACUCUGUCAUAUGUUCUUACUCUUGGUCAUGUGUUUUGUUUAAGAGGAAGACAGUCUGCCAUUAUUCUUCCAACCUUACUUCUGAACUCGUAUUGUGUUGAAGAGGAUGGACGACUCUGCCACUCCAGCACUGUUUCUCACCUUUUCCUGGUCUUGUAUUGUGUAAAGAGGAAGACAGUCUGUAUCACUCACUCUUCUCAUCUUACUCUUGGUCUUGUGUUGGGUUGAAGAGGAAAAAAUCAGGAAAGUAUGUUGUGUUCAAGAUGGAUGGAUGUGACGUCACUCCUCCACUCUUUCACAAACUUUAUUCUUACUCUUUAUUGCAGUGCUUGAGUGGAUGAAGGACAGUAUUAUGCAUCUCCUAUCAUUGUAGUCGAAAGGAUAAAGGUAACAUUCAGUAUCACACCUCUUCCAAACGAUAUCUUGUUCUUCCCAUCACCUCCGAGACUUCCGGUACUCUCUCGUCAAGGGUUCUCAAACUGGGGUAGGGGAUCAAUUGCUGUGUUCAUCCAAGCUUUGUUUAAGAGCUCCCUCCCUUUCCCUUUUCCAAAUCAAUCUCUCUGUUCAUUCAAGCUUCGUUUAUGUCCCUCCCAUUCCCUUUUCCAAAUCAAUCUCUCUGUUCAUUCAAGCUUCGUUAUGUCCCUCCCAAUCCCUGUACUUUGCCAAUUUCCCUGUUCAUCCAGCCUUGUUUAAGAGCUCCCUCCCAUUCCCUUUUCCAGAUCAAUCUCUGUUCAUUCAGGCUUCGUUUAUAAGUCCCUCCCAAUUCCUGUAUUUCUCUGCUCAUCCUACCUUGUAUAAGAGCUCCCUCCCCUGUACUUGAUCACAAACUACAUAGAGGAAACUUGCAUUGGUGCUUAGUGAGUGUGGAUGUGUCUGGGGGUGUUAGGGGAAGUAUUUUCUGGUGUUAUAAGGAGAGGUGGGCAGGAUAUAAUGCGUCCAGAACCAAAGGGACAUCUACACCAUUUUGACAGUUUUGAGUCCUGGGUCGUGUCAUACAGGCAUAACCUUCCUCCAUCAAACAGUAUAGGUAGCCGAGGGAAAAUGGACCAUCUGGAGAGUGUACUGAGGGAUCAAAACAAAGCGACAUAGUAAUAAAAACAAAGCUGGGAAACAUUAAGCUUGGUUAUCUCGAAACUCAUUUUUGGCGCGGACGAUCUUCGGUUCUGGACAUGUCAUAUCUGUGUAGUAGUUGAUUUUUAUCUUGGUAAAGAAUAAUGUAGUUGUUGUAGUUGUGGGUGACUUGUAUUUUAAUUAUUUUACCACCCUAAGCACACACACACACACACACACACAUGCAUUGACUGGGGGAGGAGGUAGUUUGUGCAAGAAACAUUCAUGAUUUUAAGGAAAAGUUGGAUAAGAGAGGAUAUGGAGACGGGACAGCGCGAGUGUAGUUCUUUUCCCGUAUGUCACAACUAGGUAAAUACGACUAGGUAAAUACACACACACACAUGCCCUGUUGCCCCUCUCGGUGUCUGUCGGCUGAUGGCUGGCAGAUUUGAUUUGAUACGAUGUCUCAUAGCUCAAUAUUUUUUUGAUGUCUCUUCCUUUGUAUAUCCUCUUCUGUUGUUUUCCAGUAAGCUCAGAGUUGCCUUGGUGUGUGUGUGUGUGUGUGUGUGUGUGUAGACGUGGGUGGUGGUGUUAGUAGUCGUGGUAGUGGUGGUGGUGAUGAUACUAUUACAACAGGGUUUUUACUUUACAUAUUACACUGUACAGCUGCAGUACACAGAAUGGGACAAAAGUUGAGGUGACAUCUGUGUUAUGCAACCAAGUACACACACACACACACGUUGUUAUGCACUACUGCUGUCAUCAUUAUAUUAAUGAUGCCGUGUACAUUGACUGGUGCCUGAGCCUAGUGUCGGCCUGUUUCGUAGGCUGUGUUGUGUUCUGGUUGGUGCCCAGAGCUGUGAAUAAUAAAGAGAUACUGUUGAUUUGUUCACCGAAUCUAUGUUUUAUCUUCCUGGGUCAGUAGAGACAGUAGGGCAGCAUGAGUCAAGGCACUGGUAGACAAAUAAGAGACUGAAUAGUGUAUUUUGAAGUAGCUGGAGUUAAAGUUGUCUUCCUCAGUUCAGUAGUAGACAGUAGAGGGACAGUACUGGUAGACAGAGAUUUAAACAGUAUGUUUUGGAAUAGCUGAGGUUGAGUCCUUUAGGAUUACAAGGCCACAAGCACCACUGUGUCCAAAAUAGAGUUUGUACCAUCAACAAUUUCUAUCAAGAAGUAUUGUGUGCACGGCCCACCAACAUGCAGACACGUCCUGCCACUUCACCAAUCCAACCCCAGCAGGCGGGGCUCAUAGCCAUGGUAGGCAGUCCAGCUGGGAGAGGGACAGUUCCAACUACAAACCCGUGCAAGUAGGACUCAUUAGCCAUGGUAGGCAGUCCACCUGGGCCCCCAUAUGAAAACUGGGGUUGCCUGUCAGGAAAGUCAUCCACAGCAGUAAAAAUCCCACUACAAACCUUGAUGAAGAUGACAGUGUCUGCUUCAUUCUGUCCAACCCCAUGAGGGAAAAAACAGUCAUUAAACAAAGAUGAAGUAGAGAAGAACAGUAUCUCUCAAGUGUUCUCUGGCAUGGGGAGGUGUACCUUGAGGCAUUAUGGCUCCCUAAAGCCUUCCUUUUCUGUGUUUCCUCCUGUUACCUCACAACAAAGGAAAAGUUUAGAAUUUCUUUUUGUCAAGUGUUCUCUGUCUUGUGAAGGCGUGGUUGAGGCAUUACAUUUAUCUAACAGGAUCCAAAACUGUGCUACAUGACAAUAAAUUUGGAUGUACAGACGCUCUAAGCUUCAACAUUAGUUUUCACGCUUAUUAGCCCGGUAGCAGCGGGGAUCAUGUUUCUUAAUGGUCCCUCCAAGCGAGAAAAAUGUGAAAAAAUUGCCCCUCACACAUACCAUUUCAUAAUAUAUAUCAAAGCAUUUGUGGUCAGAUUAUGUAUCAACUAUUUUGGGGGGUUUAUAUCAUGGCACAAAUUUGGCCCAUCGCUGCUACCAGGUUAAAAUUGGUACUAGUGGCCUUGUGAUUCUAAAGGACUUUCAUGUAGUUUUGGAGAGCAGGUGUGUGUUUGAAGUAUCCCUGGGACAAAGAAGAAUGUAUCCAUAUCCUUCUCUGUGCUGUUAUGUGCUACUGAAUGUGCCAAAGGUCUAGGUUACAGAAGGCUGAGGAUUAUCCCUGUCAACUAUGGUACUUUGCCCAAACAUAUCUCAACAUGAAGGUUACGAUAAGUACAUCUGUGCAGGUAUGUUUGUGUAUAUUUGUUUACUGUCAUAUGCAUAUACUCCUUGAGCAUACAAAUUGACACACAUUCUAUAUAUGCAACAUUUACCUGUUUAUUAUUCAAUUUUGGGGGAACAAGAGUGUUUGCAUGUCCCUUUAACUGUCACAAACUCAAGGUUCACACACACAUUCAGAGCACCAUUGACUCUGCUCCUGGGAAAGUUAAAAAAAGUCAACCCUUUCAAGGCUCUGAUAGUGAAAACUGAGGAAUAAACUUCAGCUUCUUGAAAAGUUUUAUCAACGUAAAACUCAACUCCUAAACUUAACCUUAAUAUAUUUUCUUAUAAACUUGACUUUUACACACGUCUGCACAUUACUUUGCUCUGUGGUUUGAGAAGGAGAGAACAGCGCUGAGACUCCUGCAUCCCCCAUAGUGUGAAGAGAGCUAGCCCAGCAGAGCACAACAGGACUGAGGAAUUAAGGAAAAGGAAAAGCCCAGUCCAGCAGAGUCCAACAGGAUAGAGGAAUAGAGCAAAUGGCCACUGCAUCACAACUUAGCAAUAUGCCAGACGAGGUGACGGCAGGAAGCACAGGGAAGCCCUAAAACACCUCACACCGGAAGUCUCAGACAUGUGAGGUUGAAUGUUGUCCUCUCGUACUGGAGGGAACGCAGCGUCCUGAGGUUGCAUUUACACCAGACAAGUCACUUCAUAGCAAGUGUCUACAUUCUUUGACCUGUCAUUUAAGAUAAUACCAUUUUGUGUGGACUCUUCCACAAACUGUUCACACCAGGAGAGUCGAGUCACCCUGACUCAGGUCAGCACAAGCUGGCUCCACUCUCCUGGCAGGAACAGUUUGUGGAAGAGUCCGUACAAAAUAACAUCUUGAAUGUUCGUCAAACAGAGUUGAGGAAUGCCGUGAAGAGACUCAGCUUAGCAUAACUGCAGCCUCAGAGGAGAGGACACGCUGCAGAGGACUGGUUUGCUGCCUUGCACAUCUUGACUCCUGCCAGGCUGUCUAGUAACAGGGGGAGGCGCCACUCUGUGCCUGCUGCUGCUCAUGUGACCUGCGGAGGGAUCAGUGAUUAGCUGCCUUGCUAAUAAAUGCUUUAGAAUA